rnacentral:rRNA from 1 species
UACGUAGGGUGCGAGCGUUGUCCGGAAUUAUUGGGCGUAAAGAGCUCGUAGGCGGUUUGUCGCGUCUGCUGUGAAAACCCGAGGCUCAACCUCGGGCCUGCAGUGGGUACGGGCAGACUAGAGUGUGGUAGGGGAGACUGGAAUUCCUGGUGUAGCGGUGGAAUGCGCAGAUAUCAGGAGGAACACCAAUGGCGAAGGCAGGUCUCUGGGCCACAACUGACGCUGAGGAGCGAAAGCGUGGGGAGCGAACAGG